AGCCCAGCUUGCUGGGUGGAUCAGUGGCGAACGGGUGAGUAACACGUGAGCAACCUGCCCUCCACUUCGGGAUAAGCCUUGGAAACGGGGUCUAAUACCGGAUAUGAGCUCGCAUCGCAUGGUGUGGGUUGGAAAGUUUUUCGGUGGGGGAUGGGCUCGCGGCCUAUCAGCUUGUUGGUGGGGUGAUGGCCUACCAAGGCGUCGACGGGUAGCCGGCCUGAGAGGGCGACCGGCCACACUGGGACUGAGACACGGCCCAGACUCCUACGGGAGGCAGCAGUGGGGAAUAUUGCACAAUGGGCGCAAGCCUGAUGCAGCGACGCCGCGUGAGGGAUGACGGCCUUCGGGUUGUAAACCUCUUUCAGCAGGGAAGAAGCGCAAGUGACGGUACCUGCAGAAGAAGCGCCGGCUAACUACGUGCCAGCAGCCGCGGUAAUACGUAGGGCGCAAGCGUUGUCCGGAAUUAUUGGGCGUAAAGAGCUCGUAGGCGGUCUGUCGCGUCUGGUGUGAAAUCCCGAGGCUCAACCUCGGGCUUGCAUCGGGUACGGGCAGACUAGAGUGCGGUAGGGGAGACUGGAAUUCCUGGUGUAGCGGUGGAAUGCGCAGAUAUCAGGAGGAACGCCGAUGGCGAAGGCAGGUCUCUGGGCCGCAACUGACGCUGAGGAGCGAAAGCAUGGGGAGCGAACAGGAUUAGAUACCCUGGUAGUCCAUGCCGUAAACGUUGGGCACUAGGUGUGGGGCUCAUUCCACGAGUUCCGUGCCGCAGCUAACGCAUUAAGUGCCCCGCCUGGGGAGUACGGCCGCAAGGCUAAAACUCAAAGGAAUUGACGGGGGCCCGCACAAGCGGCGGAGCAUGCGGAUUAAUUCGAUGCAACGCGAAGAACCUUACCAAGGCUUGACAUGUACGAGAAAGCCCCCGAGACGGGGUUCUCUUUGGACACUCGUACACAGGUGGUGCAUGGUUGUCGUCAGCUCGUGUCGUGAGAUGUUGGGUUAAGUCCCGCAACGAGCGCAACCCUCGUCCUAUGUUGCCAGCGGGUUAUGCCGGGGACUCAUGGGAGACUGCCGGGGUCAACUCGGAGGAAGGUGGGGAUGACGUCAAAUCAUCAUGCCCCUUAUGUCUUGGGCUUCACGCAUGCUACAAUGGCCGGUACAGAGGGCUGCGAUACCGUAAGGUGGAGCGAAUCCCAAAAAGCCGGUCUCAGUUCGGAUUGGGGUCUGCAACUCGACCCCAUGAAGUCGGA
rnacentral:rRNA from 1 species